rnacentral:tRNA from 1 species
UAGCUCAGUUGGGAGAGCGCAGCCCUUACAAGGCUGAGGUCACAGGUUCAAUCCCUG